rnacentral:rRNA from 1 species
UACGUAGGUGGCAAGCGUUGUCCGGAUUUAUUGGGUUUAAAGGGUGCGUAGGUGGUUUAGUAAGUCAGUGGUGAAAGAUGAUUGCUCAACAAUCAAAUUGCCAUUGAUACUGUUAGACUUGAGUGAAGUGGAGGUUGUUGGAAUGGAUGGUGUAGCGGUGAAAUGCAUAGAUAUCAUCCAGAACGUCAAUUGCGAAGGCAGAUGGCUGUACUUUUACUGACACUGAGGCACGAAAGCGUGGGGAUCAAACAGG